UGUGAGGUUGCAAUUUUUUAAAAUGUAGCUGAGAAGCAUCAGGCAGUCGUGCAGACGGCCUGCCGUGGGCCCGCGGACCGGGAGUUGGGAAGCAGCUCGCGGGCGGUGCAUGGGGGGCUGCCGCGGGGGUUUUCUGGCCCCUCAGCUCUUACGAGGUGGGGACGCAACCCUGGGCGAGUCGCCACUGGCCUGUCUGUUUCCUCGCCCUAAGUCUAGGGGGGUCUUCCGGGGUGAAAGGAGCGUCGGGUGACGGGCCCGCUGCGAAUGAUUUCCGGAGUCGCUGGGACGAGCCCCGUCCGGCGUCCCAGCGGCAGCAGCGCCUCGGGCAAAGGCUGCGGGCAGGCCGGUUCCGGGCCCGGUAGCAGCCCGGCGGUCCCCGCCCACUCGGCUGGAAGCCGCCGGACGGCUUUGAAAAACAAGAAAGGCGACCGUGAAGCAAGGGGAUCCAGAAGACACGACCGCAAAAACAGCAUCUUAUGGGAGAAUUAGAGUGGCUGUUAACACGAUGAGAGCCCAGGAUCUUUGCAGCAGGAG